CCUGUGGCCUACCGGGCCCCUGACGAGGGCAGCCGUACCAGGAACGCAAAGACGGCGCAUC
rnacentral:ncRNA from 1 species